AGGUGCCUCAGCAAAGACAAUGUCAUAAGAGGGAAUUAUAUGUCAUUCUGGGGAGUUUAGCAAGAACUGGUUCAAAUGGGAAGAAGUGGACCUCAGAACUGUCAGCAUCCCCACUCACUUAGUCAUGGAUGUGGACUGUCCUUGGACUGUACUCCCCUUGGAUCUCACCCAGCUCCCACCCAUCGUGGCUCCCCUGGAAUUCUGUGUUUGGGGACACUGGACCAGCAUACACCGUCUCGGAAUAUGCCAUUUUGGUAGAAGGACUAUUUUGAGCUGGACGCAAGUGGUGAUCAGUAGAUGCAGAGAGGUGCCUUCCUGGAGCCUCCUCUAUCUGACUAAAAGCAGAAACUUGUGGAAGAUGGAGGCUGCCGUAAACCUCCUCUCCUGGGGAAAAUGUACGGCCAUGGAAAGAAAAAAAGGAAAUCUGGCCCCGAGAUGGACCUGGGCAAACCCACCUUGCUCCCUUGGCUUCCCUCGUGGAUUUGCCUUUCAACAGUUUGCCAUCCUGGGAAGCCUGGAAACCUUUUCCUUUGUCUUGUCACUUCUCUACAAAUGUAUCGUUUAAAAUGCUAUAUAAGCUCAAGUUCUAACCACCUCUGUGAGUUAAUCAUUAUGAGGUUUCUCCCAGGUGAUGGGUACUGCACACAUCUGUAAACCGUCUCUUAUUAACCUGCCUUUUGUCAAAUUUUACAGGGCUCCAGGAGAACCUAGAAGAGUAGAAGGGAAAAUUACCCUUUUCUUCCCCUGCACUGGUUUCCAACUUACCUAGCCUCGUGCCUUUCAAGCCUCCCCUCUGCAAGUUUAUUCUUGUACCAGGGCACAAAAUGAACAAGCCAGGGUCUCCACUCUGAAACGUCAGUGGAACGAUCAAAUGCUUGCCUUUAUGACCAUAAAUCCUGCUCCUUCGAGUCAUACCUCAGGUCUAACAUGGGAUUCAUCUACUCUGUGAUUCACACGUUUUUCCCUGAAGAUCCCCUUCUGGGGGGGAAGAGAUCUGAGGGCAAUGCUAGAAGCAGCUGCCUGGUGAAAUGGCUUUGAAAUCUCCAGUUUUAAUCUUACACAUUCAUGUGAAUUUUGCAUUCUAUCCAUAAACAAUCUGAAUUUGUUUGAAUGUAGAUCUGCUUUAAUUAGCCCUAUUAAAUCAAUUAAUAUGCCUUUCAAACUUUUCAGGAAAGCUGAUCCUCAAGGAAGGUAAUUAUUAUGUGGCUUUACGUAACAUGCCCCAAAUUUGUGAACCAUAGAUGCAUUUUAUGCAUUCUGUUUUUGAUUUUUUUAAAAAAAAUGUUAAUUGAGCACUGACUAUAUAUAAAGGUAACAUGCUGGGCAUUGUGGAUAUUAGGGUAAGGAAAACAGACCCUCUUCCUAGACCCCCAAAGUGUACAGUCUAGCAUUACCCAGGAUGAAGACUAAGGUAAGGCUAGUAUUACUUCACUGGAAUCACAAACUACAAUGCCAUUUUGUAUUUUCAAUAACUGAAGCUCAUUAAAAGCAAGAACUCAAGUCUUCUGAAACCACUUGUUCAGUGGUCUUUCCAAGUCUUAAUGCUGAUGCCAUCACUCUUGAAAUAAAAUAUGUCCACAUGGAUGUGGUUGGGGUGGGAGGUGGGGAGUGAGACUGAAGAAAAUGCAAAAGAGAAUAUUGUUGCUCUAACCAGAGUUUCAAUGUGGAUUCAUUAGUACAAAUGAACUCCCUCCCUGGUGAACCAAAGUGAGUUUAAUCGCUAAGAAAUAAUUCACUGCUGACAGACAGGAUGAGCCAAAUGACCUUGUUCCUUGUAUUCCAUUUCUGGAUUUUUAUGAGACUUUUCCACCUCACUGGAAAGUCGUCUUAGUCAAUCAAUUUUACGUAUUUGGUUUGGAUCACUUUCCUUAGGUAGAUUAAGAUCCAAGUGUGCUUUUGUGUUUUUAACUGUAUUAAUUGCUUGAUCAACUUCCAUUUCAGAGAGGUCCAGCCAAGUGCUUCCUGCUUGUAUCUCUGCUGCUCUGAAAGCUGCUUCUCUGUUUUUUUCCUUUUCAUGUAUUAACCCCACACUUGCCGUGAAAAUUUUACAAAUUUUGCACUCUGGCAAGUGUAUUGCAUUUAUAUUUGAAUUCCAUUAGAAGCUUUCAUGCACGAUUGAACUUGUUUAUGUUCCUCCCUUCUGAUCAAAUGCCUUAGAUCUAAAAUCUGUCCCUGACUCAAUGGCAUGGCAAACAAAUCUCAUUCUUGCGAAAUAAUUUCUCAGUAAUUCAAAUUGAAAAAGAGGAGGGAGAAAGGUGUCCAAAAUCAGACUCUUUUCAUUGUAGGUGCAAAUGAAUUCCUAGAACUGAUAAAGGUUCAACUAAGCAUUUUGAAAUAAUCACAAAAACCCAAUGAGAAAGUAUAUGUAUACACACACACACACACACACACACACACAU